UAAGACAGUAUAGCGUGAUGCUGGAGUGCAAUACACUUCUGAGAAGAGUAUGCUGAACACAAAGUGGAAUACGCAUUGAUGUGAUGCUCUACACAUCCCGCGAUUCUAUUCAUUAUUGAAACAUUGUAUAAACUGUGUGUGAAGCAGUGUUACGUUACAUAUCUGGAAUUGUUAAGAAAUUGCAAUGCACAUCGAUCGUAGUACAGGCUCUGAUUUCAGGUGUUUAUGGCUCAACUAUUAUGUAGAGAAAAGUGAUAGCCCAAACUUAGGUUAAAAUAUCGUGAAUAUUAAAAAUAAAAUACCUCAUGUCAUCCUCCGCGGCCUCCGGCCUCUGAGCGUCCUAGUCCUACUCCGAGGCUCCGAUACCUGGCAGCUCACGAGUCGAGCAGCUCGGGGCUCCACGUGUCCAUCUUUACUCUGCCCUAUCCAGUACCUAAUCUGUUGGCCGCGGUGGGGUUUCUCUCCCAGCACCGCUGUACGGUCAUUCGCCUCACAUGCGCAUUCCUAAGAAAGAAUAACAACUUCAUAAGCAACAGACGACCAACCCUUCUAGAAGUUAACAGUUCCCACAGGGACACCAGAGAAUGCCAAAUGCCUAACUUUGAUCUUUCUAAGAUUUCUGAUUGGGGCAGGUGAGGUGAGGCACUUCUGUGUUGUGAUUAGUUGUGAUGACAAAUAUGGUGGCUCAAACAAACAUCUUGCAGAAUCUCAUGACUCCCAAGACUUGUCAAAGCAAUUUGGAAAUAAUAUUUUUUUUUAGUUUUUCACAUUUGUAAGAAAAUUCUUAUUUUCCAUUUCCCUUUGUGUGGAAUGAACAGUAGUAUUUUUUCCAAGAUGCUUUGCUGCUGUAGUUUUCUUUAUGUCUAUAACAUAUAAUAUGGUUUGGCAUUUUAACACCACAAUCAUUAUACAUUUCAGUGUACUGAAAAAAAAAGCACAAGAAAUACUGUUUACAGUGUGGUACCAUGAGAACAACUGGCACUGUGUGAUGCCAUCUCACACAAAAGCCACCAACACUGUUCAUGGAGCAAGACAAAAUUUGUUAAAAAAAUUUGGUUCGUCUAUGGAUUUGUUCAUGGACAUUUGUGAACCAAGGUUCCACUGUACAUAUUGUAGUUGAAUAGUGUGGAUGCUGAUACAGACAAAAAAUUUUGUCCAUCUUUUCUAGCAUAGCUUAUGUGUAUUCAGUGGGGAUGAUUUUGUAAGGAUAUCCAGAAGUCCAGAAAAUGAUUUAUUUUAUUCUAACAUUCUCCCAGUGUACACACAGCAAUAGUACAUAAUGAUACAACAAGAGUUGACAUUAAUAUGAUAUAUGCACUAUAAUAUAACAAAUAAUGUCAACUCUCUGAGGCAGCAGCAAGUAUCCUUCUUAAUACUUUUUAUAUGAUGCAAGAAAAAAAGUCUGGCUAUAAGUGAAAAAGUAUACAUUAAUUUAGCUUGUAGUAUUCAGAAGUAUUGAUGAACUAUGCAUUUAUAAACUUUAUCUUAUAUGAUAAAGAUAAAGAUUUUACAGUCCACAUUUAUUAGAAUAAAAGAAU